rnacentral:rRNA from 1 species
GCACCCCAGUCAGGCGGGGCUACCC